rnacentral:rRNA from 1 species
UACGAAGGGGGCUAGCGUUGUUCGGAAUUACUGGGCGUAAAGCGCACGCAGGCGGCUUGGCAAGUCGGGUGUGAAAUCCCGGGGCUCAACCCCGGGACUGCAUUCGAUACUGUCAGGCUAGAGGUAGGUAGGGGAGAACGGAAUUCCUGGUGUAGCGGUGAAAUGCGCAGAUAUCAGGAGGAACACCGGUGGCGAAGGCGGUUCUCUGGGCCUUACCUGACGCUGAGGAGCGAAAGCGUGGGGAGCGAACAGG